UCCUAGAAGCCAAUAUGGCUGACACAUUGUAAUCAAUUUAGGAUAUAAUUUUAUACUUAAUAUAUUGAUAUGAUCAAUAAAAAGAUAAUUUUUUUUUAUUCCAGUAUAAUGUGUCCGUGAAUCAUCCAUGAAAUUAGUUUCAAUACAUACUCUUAAGGUAUUGAGAAUUAAAGAUAUAUAUUUAAUUCCUAAAGACUCUCGAUCAUAGGAUCAUCAUGAGGAUGGUG
rnacentral:lncRNA from 1 species